ensembl:lncRNA
CCCCUCCAGCCCCUCCCUGCUCCUCGUCUCCUCUCUGGAGCCCCAGCACCCUCGCUGGAGAGAGCACCUUAGGAAUCAGCUUAUAGCCCUGGGUGUCUCCUCCAGGUCCCCCACGGCCCAUGUGCUGAAGGAACAGGACAAAUGAGGGUGAAGGACGCAGCCCUCUCCCUUCUUCCCUCUCUCCUUGCCUCUUCCCUUGUGUUCUGAGGGCCAAGAAUCGCUGAGACUCCCUGCUUCUCCAGCUGCUGUUGUUAAGUGCAUGGCAUCAAUCACAUCCCGCAUCUGUGAAGUCUUGAGUCUUCCCCAGAGUAGACUCAGAGUCACUAGUGGGGCCUAAAUAUUUCCAUCACACCGUCAACUCAGAGAACCCAGUCAGCAGCCCAGAUCUGUCUGGGGGAGGGGCCUUCAGCCUUGACGAAUCUAAUCCCAUCGCCUGGCUCUGCAGGCUCUGGGGAGAUGAUCCACAGGUCACCUGCCACUGGCUGUACCUCCAUUUUCUGACCUUCCUAAGACAUUCCUGGACCCACUCGCUCCAUGCUGAGGCCUCUUGAGCCAAGAGCUCUUUUGGUUGGAAAAUCAGCUCCAAACAUAUGGGGCCCCUCCUGCCUUGCCAACUCUCUGGCUAGUGAGGUCGUCUCCAAGGACCCCAGCUCCAGCAGAGGGCCAGAGAAUCCCCCUCAGAAGUUUCAUGGCUGAGAGGCAUGUGUGCUCAUUGAGAGGACAAACGAGCUGGUGACUCACACCAGGCUUGGAGCUGUGGUCACAGUUUUCUUUGGUUUCAGCUUUGAGAGAAAGAGACCAAAUCCCAUUUAACACUUCUGUACUUGGCGCUGUGCUGACAUGGCCACUGCCCUUCCUCAGGGGGAGACACAGGUGGGUGCAGGGGUCAGGCAAUCAGGGAGUGAGUGCAGGAGCUGGGGUGCUGGGGGAGGCCCAGACCCACCUUGGGUCUGCCUGGAAGAACUGGAGCAGAAAAGCCAGGCUGGGAAGUUCCAGGAAGCUGUGGGCAUCUUUGAUAGAAAGGGAAGCUUCAGAUGCAGCCAUGGCCUGGGGUAUUCAAUAUUAAGAUGGAAUGAGGAAGGCCUGUUGAGAGGCAAGGAGGAAGAAGGCAGGCCUCACAGGGCUAAGAGGGGCUGGCAAAGAGCUCUGCUGUUAUUCACAAAUCAGUGGGGAGCCUUUGCAAGGUCUGAAAUGAGUGUGGACUGUCCAUGAAGAAAGCCUUUCUGAGGGUAUGAAGAACCUGGGCAUCGGAGGUGAGGUCCUGGCUGUGUGUCCAGGCCACAGACUCAUUUAGCAGCGACCACAGCCGGCCAGGGCCCAGACUGAGGUCCUGCAGACCAGCCCACAGGCCCUGGCUAGGUAGCGUGCACAGGCAGUGAGGCUGCUGCCGCCCGGCAGGGGCUUCAGGAGACUGACUCAUCAGUGUCCCCAGGGCCCAACCCAGGGCUGGGGCAGAGCAGGCGCCAGGGAAAGUGUGUUGUGGGGAGAAAGCAGCUUUACAAAUGCUUGCAGCAGCCAGACUGGAGUUAUUUCUUCCUGCCCGCACAUCCUCAGAUCUGGAAAUAAGGAAGUGUGAGGCUCCAGUGAGCUCCUGUACUCAGGCAUGGUUGUAAGGGCUUGGGGACCACUGGAGCCCCAGGGAGACUUUUCCUCAAUUUUCUCGUCUUUAAGUUAGUAUGUGUGGGUGCAGAAGGAAUGACAAGCAAUGGAAACUGGCUGGGGUGCUGGCAGCCUGUGCAUUGGGAGCCACAUGACCACUAACCUUUCACACAUGUACCAGUGCGUGCUGGUGGGGAGAUCCCAGCUCCUCCUCACUCUUCUCUCUGGCAGUGAAAUAGGAUAGAUUUGUUAGCCCCAUUUCACCAAGCGGGCCUCCCCAAAACAUUGACUCUAUUUCCCAGGGACUUGAUGAGCCAAAUGGGGUUGGGAUGGAGGGGCCCUCCAGGGAAUCUCUGUUUUUCUAGAUGGGUCUGGCAUCCCUGCUCCCGACCUUGGCCUCUAGGGUUGCCAGGACCCCUUGGCCGGCGGACGCAGAGGCGAAGCGCAAGAAGUGCCAAGGCACCCCACGUGCUGAAAGGCCCACCCGGCUGGGGCCAGAGUCGGAGAGUUCUGCCCAGGUUACGGAGCUAAACAAAGGAACCCGCCCAUCUAACCCAGUCCUGACUGAAACUUCAGGGCAAAGCCUCGAGAUGUGCGGUUAUCUUUCCCGGAAGUCAGGUGUCCAGGAACCCCAAACAGUGCGGAUGCUGACGGCGUUAGCAAGACCCGUGCUGGGGCGCUCAGCACACCGCUCACGCGGUUCCUAUGGACCCUGGCCCCGCCGUCCAGGCCGAGGGAGUAGCUCUUCCGAGUCGCAGUCCCAGCUCCUGGGUCCGGUGCAAACUCGCUGCAGACACGUACAUUUCUCUAACGCACGGCGGACCGGGUUCCCCGCGUCCAGGCCCAAAGCUCGCCUACAAAAGAGCAACUCUUGGCGUUGGAGGUCCAAUCGAACCUGUGAGGAAUUCUUAUCCGGCAGUCGGCUUUGAGCGCACUGGAAAUGAAGAGAGGUACAGUUGAACUGCGCAGGCUCCAGAGCUGAUCAGUCUACUUAGAAGGGAAAUCGAGCAAGCUUUUAAGCAGCGGCUCGUUGGUCUAGGGGUAUGAUUCUCGCUUAGGGUGCGAGAGGUCCCGGGUUCAAAUCCCGGACGAGCCCUCGUUUUGUUUUGUUUUUCCCCCACCUCUGGUUUCUAAAUAUUUCUCAACCAGAAAGAAUUUUCGAGAAAAAUGGCAGCCAGUACGUCACUUGCUCACUAAUUUUUAUUCG